AGAAGCCAAACGAUAAGGACACUGCGAUUCAGUGAGAGUCAAUAAGCAAUAUAAAGCAGCGAGAAAACAGGAACACUGAUCGCCAUUUGCUUCAAUCCGAAACCGAGAUCGUCUGGAGGAAGAAACAUGGCGUUGUUUCUAUGUGUUAUUUUUACGCUAAUUUCCUUCCUGGCUACGACCUGCUCAGCCUUGUCGGUCGAAGACGAAGCAUCAACGGUCUAUGGGAUUAUGGUUCUGCCGAUAAUCGCCUUCUGUCUCAUCUUCUAUCUGGAGUUGCGGAGAGGACCAUGAGUGACGAAAAUCUCCAUAUGAGAAGAUGGCGAUAAAGGCUGAUGAUACAAUAUACUUGAUAAAUGCUGAUAAUACGAUAUACUUGUGGGCCAAUUAAAAGAAUUCACUCAAUGUUGUGGUUUACUGUAUUUUUUUACAUAAUUUUGUCUCUCUAAUUUACCUUGAAUUCUAUCGAUGUUUUUGCAAUUGAUUUUGUUUGGAUUAUUCCAUUGUUUUUUCUCAUUUGUUAUCAAUGAUUUUUUUCCGAUUUUCUUAAACUGUUCUUUUCUUGUAUAGUUAAUAAAUGUGAAUAUAUUUUUAAUUCA